GGAUGGAUCGUACGGGCACUGAAGCACCGAAUCCCAUCAGAACUCUGAAGUUAAGCGUGCUUGGGGGAGAGUAGUACUAGGAUGGGGGACCUCUUGGGAAGUCCUCGUGUUGCAUUCC
rnacentral:rRNA from 1 species